CCUACGGGAGACAGCAGUGAGGAAUAUUGGUCAAUGGACGGAAGUCUGAACCAGCCAUGCCGCGUGCAGGAAGACGGCUCUAUGAGUUGUAAACUGCUUUUGUACAAGGGUAAACCUGAAUACGUGUAUGCAGCUGAAAGUACAGUACGAAUAAGGAUCGGCUAACUCCGUGCAAGCAGCCGCGGUAAUACGGAGGAUCCAAGCGUUAUCCGGAUUUAUUGUGUUUAAAGGGUGCGUAGGCGGAUUGAUAAGUUAGAGGUGAAAUGUCCGAGCUUAACUCGGGAACUGCCUCUCAUACUGUUGAUCUAUAGCGUAGGUGCGGUAGGCGGAAUGUCUGGUGUAGCGGUGAAAUGCUU
rnacentral:rRNA from 1 species